UAGGAUUUUUUUCCUUUCUCACACAUCCUCUGUGUUUCUCUUGUGAUACUCAUCUUCUAUACUGCUCCCAGCGUCUCUCAAAAGCUGUGUUAAAGGUAUACCCGGAGAUCACUAUAAAUCCUUAGUGGACUUCCUGAGACACAAGUAAACGCAGAUGCUCCAAGCAAAAGAGAUUUCUUCUGGAAGCUUGUGCCUCAGGAGAUGCAGUGCUUACUUGGCACAGUCAUGGCUGUCGUCAUGAAACGAUCUGAGAGAGACAACGAGGGGAGUGAAUGUUAGCCACCAUUAAUAGCCUUCCAGGCCUGUUCUAGACACACCCGGCACACUGUCGAAAAUAGAAAUCUGGUCAAAUGUUAAAAUAGGACAAAGCCAAGUUUCCAGGGCAAGGGUUCAAAAGUAGCUUUUGUAUCAUUCACAGUGAAAAAUAAGAUUACUGAAAAUGUGGGAACUCUGAUCUAUUUUAUGUGUUUGGUUGUUUUCCCAUUUCAUCGCAGUUUUGGUUUCUAAAAUAAAUGUUUUGGUGUGAAUUCA